rnacentral:rRNA from 2 species
UCCUGGCUCAGGAUGAACGCUGGUGGCGUGCCUAAUACAUGCAAGUCGAGCGAACUGAUUAGAAGCUUGCUUCUAUGACGUUAGCGGCGGACGGGUGAGUAACACGUGGGCAACCUGCCUGUAAGACUGGGAUAACUUCGGGAAACCGAAGCUAAUACCGGAUAGGAUCUUCUCCUUCAUGGGAGAUGAUUGAAAGAUGGUUUCGGCUAUCACUUACAGAUGGGCCCGCGGUGCAUUAGCUAGUUGGUGAGGUAACGGCUCACCAAGGCAACGAUGCAUAGCCGACCUGAGAGGGUGAUCGGCCACACUGGGACUGAGACACGGCCCAGACUCCUACGGGAGGCAGCAGUAGGGAAUCUUCCGCAAUGGACGAAAGUCUGACGGAGCAACGCCGCGUGAGUGAUGAAGGCUUUCGGGUCGUAAAACUCUGUUGUUAGGGAAGAACAAGUACCAGAGUAACUGCUCGUACCUUGACGGUACCUAACCAGAAAGCCACGGCUAACUACGUGCCAGCAGCCGCGGUAAUACGUAGGUGGCAAGCGUUAUCCGGAAUUAUUGGGCGUAAAGCGCGCGCAGGCGGUUUCUUAAGUCUGAUGUGAAAGCCCACGGCUCAACCGUGGAGGGUCAUUGGAAACUGGGGAACUUGAGUGCAGAAGAGAAAAGCGGAAUUCCACGUGUAGCGGUGAAAUGCGUAGAGAUGUGGAGGAACACCAGUGGCGAAGGCGGCUUUUGGUCUGUAACGACGCAGGCGCGAAAGCGC